rnacentral:tRNA from 1 species
UGGGGCGUGGCCGAGUGGUAAGGCACCGUGUUUUGGUCUCGUUACUCGAAGGUUCGAAUCCUUUCGUCCCAG